rnacentral:rRNA from 1 species
GACGAACGCUGGCGGCGUGCUUAACACAUGCAAGUCGAACGGUAAGGCCCUUCGGGGUACACGAGUGGCGAACGGGUGAGUAACACGUGGGUGAUCUGCCCUGCACUUCGGGAUAAGCCUGGGAAACUGGGUCUAAUACCGGAUAGGACCAUGCGAUUCACGGUGUGUGGUGGAAAGCUUUUGCGGUGUGGGAUGGGCCCGCGGCCUAUCAGCUUGUUGGUGGGGUAAUGGCCUACCAAGGCGACGACGGGUAGCCGGCCUGAGAGGGUGACCGGCCACACUGGGACUGGGAUACGGCCCAGGCUCCUACGGGAGGCAGCAGUGGGGAAUAUUGCACAAUGGGCGCAAGCCUGAUGCAGCGACGCCGCGUGAGGGAUGACGGCCUUCGGGUUGUAAACCUCUUUCAGUAGGGACGAAGCGCAAGUGACGGUACCUACAGAAGAAGGACCGGCCAACUACGUGCCAGCAGCCGCCGUAA